rnacentral:rRNA from 1 species
UACAGAGGGGGCAAGCGUUAUUCGGAAUUACUGGGCGUAAAGGGCUCGUAGGCGGCCAACUAAGUCGGAUGUGAAAUCCCCAGGCUUAACCUGGGAACUGCAUCCGAUACUGGAUGGCUUGAAUCCGGGAGAGGGAUGCAGAAUUCCAGGUGUAGCGGUGAAAUGCGUAGAUAUCUGGAGGAAUACCGGUGGCGAAGGCGGCAUCCUGGACCGGCAUUGACGCUGAGUGAGCGAAAGCCAGGGGAGCAAACGGG